AGGAUGAACGCUGGCGGUCUGCUUAACACAUGCAAGUCGAACGGAGUACCUCGGUACUUAGUGGCGGACGGGUGAGUAACGCGUGAGAAUCUGCCCUUAGGUCGGGGACAACCAUUGGAAACGAUGGCUAAUACCGGAUAAGCCGAGAGGUAAAAGAUUAAUUGCCUAGGGAAGAGCUCGCGUCUGAUUAGCUAGUUGGUGAGGUAAAGGCUCACCAAGGCAUCGAUCAGUAGCUGGUCUGAGAGGAUGAUCAGCCACACUGGGACUGAGACACGGCCCAGACUCCUACGGGAGGCAGCAGUGGGGAAUUUUCCGCAAUGGGCGAAAGCCUGACGGAGCAAGACCGCGUGAGGGAGGAAGGCUCUUGGGUUGUAAACCUCUUUUCUUGGGGAAGAACAAAUGACGGUACCCAAGGAAUCAGCAUCGGCUAACUCCGUGCCAGCAGCCGC
rnacentral:rRNA from 1 species